AGCUGUCAACACCCAGCUGUUUCUCAAGAUGGAACAUGGUACUGACAAAACCAGAUUGACUAUCAAAGCACCUCACAGUACAAGACACAGAUUGUUAACUACAACUCAGAAAAAGUGGUUAAUAGGAAGGAUCAGAAGAAGAGGAAUAUAGAUUUCCUACUGGAGAGAAAAACCAUCCUGGAACAAUAUUCUGUAACAAUGAACUUUACAAUGACAUUUGGUGGCAUAUGAAUUUGAAUUCGGAAGAAACACAUCAAUUAACGAAAGAAACCUUGAUGCAAUUAAUAAAUAAUAACAAUACCGGCCUACUAAGAGCAGAUGCCCUGC